CAGGACACCACAGCAGUAUGCAGUCACAACAAAGAAAUGUUUAAUUGUUCAUGAAAGUAUGCAUAUCACCCGCUGCCUCUUAUGCUAAACUUUCAACACAGUUGGAGCUGUUGGCAUAUGUUCACAUUCAGCUCGUCCCACACCAGCCUUCAGCUGUCUGUGUGACUCUGACGCUCAUGGACCGACACAUGCAGCUGAAAUAAAGGCUGCAGACAUGUUGAGAUGUUGCUGCCUCAUCAGAAGCAGAGCGACUGGCCUCUCUGCUGCAUUUCUCUCUCUCUCUCUCGCUUGCUCUCUCUCUCUCUCUCUCUCUCUCUCUCUCUCUCUCUCUCUCUCUCUCUCCUAAAGCUGGAGCUGCAUCAGGACGCUGCAGAGCAGGAGGCAGCGCUAACCAGCAGCAUGUCAGGAGCUGCAGCCUAACAACCACAAACUAUCAGCUGAGCAGCUUCACAAAGCUCCAAGAGAAGACCAGAAGAGAAGAGGAAGACGAGGAGGAUGAGAUCUGAUCAUUGGGACCAAGGUUUGACCAAUACAGAACCAAAGGGAUCAAUGUAAUCUCAGUCAAGUCGCAAAGGUAACAGGCCCAGGAGAGAAACCCAGAACUCCCUCUCCCCAGUGACCCUUUCGAGCUAAUCCUGGGGGACCCCGAGGCAUU